AUGGAUGCGAGGCUCAGAGGUCACCCGACAGCUUUGGUGUCUGACACCCCAGCAUCACCGAAGGCCCUCGGCAUUUCUACCUGAAGCAGUGCUGGAGAGGCAGCAGGAACAAAAUGGAACUCCCUGCAAGUGCAGGGCUUACACUCCAUCAGGGAACACGGACAACAAAACCCAUGAAGAGUGUGAAGACGUCAGAUGCGACAGGGGCUGUGAAGAACCAAGGGCUGAGGACUUCAAGCCAAACAUGGCAUCAGCGAGUAGCUUGCAGGAUCUUAGCUCCCACCAAGGACUGAACCUGUGCCCUUGGCAGAGACCAUGCAGCAUCCUAACCACUGGACCACCAGGAAAGCCCCUCAGACGCCGUAUUUCACAAGCGCCCCACUAAGACCAUCCGGUCUCAGAUCAAACUCCUUCUUCCUUGCAUCUGGGAUGAGCCCUCCAUGGAGACAGCAAUCUGAACCCCCUUCAUCACCAUCCUUGUCCACCCAACAAGGAGGCUCACCAAAGACGCCUCUGCCACGUGGAGGAAAGUCACACUCCUCAGUGUGUCCAGGGACUCCAUUGCCUGACUCUGGCCAAGGCCAUCCCAACAGCUGUGCUGAGGAGCAGACCGGCAGGGACUAGAUCUCUCGGCCUCACGGUGAAGCCUUGACUGUGCAGGAAUAA